rnacentral:lncRNA from 1 species
AGCGAUGGCCAUGGCGGCGGCGGCGGUGCUUGCGGUGUCCUCCCGCUGCUACUUCGGCCUCGCCACCAUUCAGUUCAUGUCUCACGCCCCAUCGUUAUCUUCACUUUCGCUCUACUGUCUCCAAGCCAUUUUUAUACCAGGGGAAUUUAUCCCCCAGUCUAGCCUGAAAAGCACAAAAUUGAUGGAGCGGCGGCUGAACAAGAAGGGCGGGGACGACGGAGUGGAGAAGAAAAGCUGUUUUGAGUUCUAAAAUGCGCCUACCUACCAAGUGGCUUUUUGGUGAUCAGAUCUAUGUUACCCAGUAAUGCUGCAUGUGUACAGAAUCUGUUCAAUGCCGAAUAGAAGUGGUGAUAGCAGACAUCUCUGUCUUGCUCCUGAUUUUUUGAAGGAAGUGCAUACAUGCAAGUUUUGGUCAUGAAAAGAAAGAUGUUUGCUAUAGUUUUUUUUGUUUGUUUUUGUUUUUGUUUUUUGUCUUUUUGCCAUUUCUUGGGCCGCUACCGUGGCACAUGGAGAUUCCCAGGCUCGGGGUCGAAUUGGAGCUGUAGGCUCUGGCCUACGCCAGAGCCACAGCAACACGGGAUCCAAGCCUUGUCUGCAACCUACACCACAGCUCACGGCAAUGCUGGAUCCCCAAGCCACUGAGCAAGGCCAGGGAUCGAACCCGCAACCUCAUGGUUCCUAGUUGGAUUCAUUAACCACUGUGCCACGACGGGAACUCCUGCUAUAGUUUUUUUAAAUGUACAUUUCAUCAAGAUAAAAAUAAAGUCUCCUUCUAGUUUCGUUUUGCAAAAGGCGUGUUGGGAUUUUAUUUGUUUAAUAUUUAUAAAUGCACAUUGUUUAGAGCAGUGAUUAGAAAACUACAGCUCAAUCCAAAUCAAGUCUAUUUUUACACAGCCCAUAAACUAUGAAUGAUUUUUUUCAUUUUUCAAAUGAAAAGAAAAAAUAUUUUAUGACAACUGAAAUUACAUAAAAUUCAAAUUUCAGUGUCUAUUAAUAAAGUUUUAUUGGAAUGCGGCAAUAUCCAUUUGUUUAUGGAUGGUCUAUGGUGCUUGUGCACCACAAAGUCAUCGUUAAGUAGUUGCAACAGAGACCAUAUGGCCUGCACAGCCUAGAAUAUUUACUAUCUAGCCCUUUAUAGAAAAGAUUUGCCAGCCCGUGGUCUAGAAUCACACAGUUAUAUACAAUUUGUUAUGAAAAACAGCAAAACCGCACUUACCUCUUCCCUCAUUAUCCCAUCCCCAAAGGCAACCACUUCUAUCUCUUUUAGUUGAUUAUUUUAGUAUUUACUUCUGUUUCUCUCAAUAGCAUAACUACAGUAUAACUUCUUUAAUCUUUGACUUUGGGAACUAUAUAUUAUCUUUCCACUAUGGGAGAUGAGGAUAUAACUAUCUUCUUCACUUCACCCCACCAUCCAUAUCUCUGUCAUCCAUCUUUUUCUCCAAUAUUAUAUAUAUUAUGUAAACUAUAUAAUAAUUUGGGUAGGUAAAUAUUCUUUGUUAUGACUCUGUUAAUGCAACUCAUAGUUGAGCCAUGUAGUAGACUUUGGUUUCUUUUCUAAUGCAAAGCUUUUUAUUUUUCCUGGCAUAAUUAUCUUUUUUUUUUUUUAAUGUUGUUUCCUUAGUUUUGUUUUUACCAAUUCAACCUGAAAGUCUUCACCAAUUGUCUAAAUUUCUUCCCAGGAUGUUCAGAUGCAUUGGCAGCUUCACUAAUCUCACCAUCCUGAAGAAGUUGACUAGAGCUUUCUAGCUCACUGCCAUCUGGACAUUUUUAUUGAGGCCAUCAGGAGUCCGAGAUGAAUCUCACUGAGCUAAAACCAAGGUGCUGCCAGAGCUGGUUCCUCCUGGAGACACUGAGUGCAGAAUCUACUUUCCUGCCCUUUUUGGCUUCCAUGCAUUAUUUCCAUCUCUAGCUACUGCCAUCAUCUGUACUACUGACACCGAUUCUAUUGACUUUCUCUCAUAAGCACCUUUAUAAUUACACCGGGUCCCUCCAGAUAAUCCAGCAUGAUUUCCCUUUCUCAAGAGCCUUAAGCUUUAACUUAAUCACAUCUACAAGGUCCCUUUGAAUGAGCAAGAUAACGUAAUCAUAGGGUUGGGGAUUAGGACAAAGACAUGUGUUGGAGUCUCUUAUUCAGCUCUAUACAUAUAGGACAUCUUUCCUGGUAAUUCCAAUAUCUAGAUUUUUCUGUAUGUCUCUAUUCUAGUUUGGUGUCUUUGGUUUUUUUUUUUUUUUUUUUUUUUUUUUCCCCUCUUGGUUUUCCACCAUUUGGUCUUGUUCCUUGAUAAGCUUGAUACAUUUUUUUUAGUGCACCCUGGUCUUAAGCUUGAAAAACUAUAAAGAUAAGUUAAGAAUCUGCAUGGUGUUAUCUUCCUCCAGAGAGUAUUAGAGGUUAUUAGAGUAGGGGCAGAUUACUUUAUGCCAGAAUAGGACCAUUCCAAUUCCAAACUGAGUUUCUGUCUUUAUGAUGGCUGAUCGGUUUCUGAAUUAUCUGUUUCUGAACCAUCUUAAUCCUGGAAUGUAACUCCACAGGGACACUUGACAAGUCCAGCCAAAUUGCUGCCCAGCUUUUCAGUCUCACAGCUACUGCUUUCUGCCACUCAGCCUCUCAGAUUCUUAGCUGCAACUUACAAAUCAGAAAAUGCCUCAGGGUUCAUCUCUCAACUUUUUCUCCUGAAUCUUGGCUUCUCAAAAAGAUUUGAUGCCUUUUCAAAAAGAUUUUUAGCAGAGUUCUUGUGUGACUCAGUGGCUUAAGGACCUGGCAUUGUUAUGGUUAUGUCUCAGGUCGCUGCUUUGCUACUGAGGCACAGCGUUCUGUCCAUGGCCUGGGAACUUCUGCAUGUUGUGAGUACAGCCAAAAAAAAAAAAAAAAA